AAUAUGGGAUAAGAUCAGGCGGUCCUCCUUACGGCGGACGCGGCCGGGCCAUGCGCAGCGGUUCUUGGACCGCGGGACUAUA
rnacentral:ncRNA from 2 species